AGACCUCAGGUCAGGCGGGGCUACCCGCUGAGUUUAAGCAUAUCAAUAAGCGGAGGAAAAGAAACUAACAAGGAUUCCCUUAGUAACGACGAGCGAACCGGGAACAACCCACCAUGAGAAUCGGUCGGCCCUGGCGUUCGAAUUGUAG
rnacentral:rRNA from 1 species